rnacentral:rRNA from 1 species
GACGGAGGAUGCAAGUGUUAUCCGGAAUCACUGGGCGUAAAGCGUCUGUAGGUUGUUCAAUAAGUCAACUGUUAAAUCUUGAGGCUCAACUUUAAAAAUCGCAGUCGAAACUAUUAAACUAGAGUAUAGUAGGGGUAAAGGGAAUUUCCAGUGGAGCGGUGAAAUGCGUAGAGAUUGGAAAGAACACCAAUGGCGAAAGCACUUUACUGGGCUAUUACUGACACUGAGAGACGAAAGCUAGGGUAGCGAAUGGG